rnacentral:rRNA from 1 species
AAUGACCUCGGAUCAGGUAGGGAUACCCGCUGAACUUAAGCAUACCAGUAAGCAAACCCCACCAAUUGACCUCGGAUCAGGUAGGGAUACCCGCUGAACUUAAGCAU